rnacentral:rRNA from 1 species
GCUAGUAAUCGCAGAUCAGAAUGCUGCGGUGAAUACGUUCCCGGGUCUUGUACACACCGCCCGUCACACCAUGGGAGUUGGAAAUGCCCGAAGUCAGUGACCGAACCGAAAGGAAGGAGCUGCCGAAGGUGGAGCCGAUGACUGGGGUGAAGUCGUAACAAGGUACC